AUUGAACGCUGGCGGCAUGCCUUACACAUGCAAGUCGAACGGCAGCACGGGUGCUUGCACCUGGUGGCGAGUGGCGAACGGGUGAGUAAUAUAUCGGAACGUACCUUAUUGUGGGGGAUAACGCAGCGAAAGCUGUGCUAAUACCGCAUAAUCCCUAAGGGGGAAAGCGGGGGACCGUAAGGCCUCGCGCAAUUAGAGCGGCCGAUACCUGAUUAGCUAGUUGGUGAGGUAAAGGCUCACCAAGGCAACGAUCAGUAGCUGGUCUGAGAGGACGAUCAGCCACACUGGGACUGAGACACGGCCCAGACUCCUACGGGAGGCAGCAGUGGGGAAUCUUGGACAAUGGGGGAAACCCUGAUCCAGCGAUGCCGCGUGUGUGAAGAAGGCCUUCGGGUUGUAAAGCACUUUAGUUGGGGAAGAAAAGUAAUAAGUAACUAAUUUAUUGCUCUGACGGUACCCAAAGAAUAAGCACCGGCUAACUCUGUGCCAGCCGCCGCGGUAA
rnacentral:rRNA from 1 species